rnacentral:rRNA from 1 species
CCUAAAGGCGCAAUGAAAGUGAAGGCAGCCUCCGGUUUGUCUAGGUAGGAUCCUUUUCUCUUCGAGAUGAGGCGCACUACCUGCCCGUCUCGUCCGCGUUGCGGUGAGGCGGAGCUAGAGCGCACACGUUGGGACCCGAAAGAUGGUGAACUAUGCCUGAGUAGGACGAAGCCAGAGGAAACUCUGGUGGAAGUCCGUAGCGAUUCU